rnacentral:lncRNA from 1 species
AAAUAUACUAUUUAUUGAUAAAAAAUAUGGUACAACUGUAUACUGUAAUUAAAUAUUUUACAAAUGAAGUUUAUAUGAUGAUAAAUUCACGAAAAAGUCCUUGGUUGAAAGUCCUUUGUGAAGGUGCAAGGCUCUACAAUACUUUACCUGACAAUUUCCAGCCUGCACAUAAUGAAUUGAUUUCAUUUUUUUGUCAGUUGUUAGAAUUUUGCACAAUUUAUUACUGCCUUCUUGUGCAAAUCCUAAUGGAUGCUUUAGGCUCAUAAUUUAUAUGAAAUGGAAUAUGUAAAAUUUAAGACUCGC